AUCCUUCCAUAUUUGCUCGCGUCCAGUCCAUCACAGCUUAUUUAGCGCCCAUAGUAGGCAGUUCACAUACUAAAAAGGGCCUUACAGGGGCAAAAAUGAGUUGUCACACUCCUCUCCGCCAUUCUUCAAUAUUUGCUGGCGUCCAGUCCAUCAAGGCUCCGUCCUAGUUUAAAAGCCAUGUCAUUAAGGAAGCAAUGAAAAUGAAGCUUUUUUUUUUAUAAAGGAACUGUGCGAUCUAACGCGAGAAGGCGUUGAAAAAUAUACGAAUACUGGUGAGGAUAUACAGUGAUUUUGAGAUUUUUGCUUAGUAUGGAGGAUGAUGGUGGGAAAACUUGGGAGUAGCUAAUAUAUAAGUCUCUAGGGUUCUUAUAGUUGCGAAAAAAAUAAAUGAUGGAGAUGUAUUCAAGAGUGAAAUUUUAAGAGAAAGAAAGGAUCAGUGGUUCUGGUUAAGAGGUUUACUGGUGCGGGUUUAUGCAAGAGUUUAUAGAAGAUCAUAAUAUGUGAUGUACUGUGGGUUCUAUUAAUUAAAUGUAAUAAUUUCAGGUCAAAAUCUUAAAUUUUCAGAUAUUGUUUGGAUGUUAAGGCAUGUUUAUUUUUUGAAUUUUCUUAAUGUUAACGUAUUC